UACGUAGGGUGCAAGCGUUGUCCGGAAUUAUUGGGCGUAAAGAGCUCGUAGGCGGUCUGUCGCGUCGAGUGUGAAAACCCGGGGCUCAACCCCGGGCCUGCAUUCGAUACGGGCAGACUAGAGUUCGGUAGGGGAGUCUGGAAUUCCUGGUGUAGCGGUGAAAUGCGCAGAUAUCAGGAGGAACACCGGUGGCGAAGGCGGGACUCUGGGCCGAUACUGACGCUGAGGAGCGAAAGCGUGGGGAGCAAACAGG
rnacentral:rRNA from 1 species